GGGCCCGUAGCUUAGCCAGGUAGAGCGCCCUGGGGCAAAAGCCCCGCGUAAGGCUCAUAACCGGGAGGUCCCGGGUUCAAAUCCCGGCGGGCCCA
rfam:Vulcanisaeta sp. JCHS_4 scf1118686606044, whole genome shotgun sequence.